ensembl:lncRNA
CAAGGAGACUGCUGGUCCUAGCCUAGUUCAGUAUAGUAUAUGUUGUGAGCGUGCUUCAGAUCUCCGGAGAUAGCACAGUACGCUGUGUCCAGCCCAGAGGUGAAAGCCAUCCAAAGCAGAGUAACUGUGCUUUGCGUCCAAGUUGAUACCUGUGGAGAGGAAAGGAAAGAGAGAGUGAGUAACACAAGGAGAAACAGAGCGAACCCUGUACUUACAGUACGCUGUGUCCAGCCCAGAGGUGAGAGCCAUUCAAAGCAAACUAACUGUGCUAUUGUGCCCAAGUUGAUACCUGUGGAGAGAAAAGGAGAGAGAGUGGGUAACACGAGGAGAGAUCGAGGAAACCUGUACUUACGCCGCUGCCUGUGGAGAGAAAAGGAAAGAGAGAGUGAGUAACACAAGGAGAAACAGAGGAAACCUGUACUUACAGUACGCUGUGUUCAGCCCAGAGGUGAGAGCAAAACCAAGCUGAACUAACUGUGCCUGUGUGUCCCAGCCGUUGCCUGUGGAGGAAGAGAAAGAGAGUGAGCACCCCGAGAACGAACUGUGUGAACCAGUACUUACCGUGAGCUGUAUUCAGCGAAGAGGAGGAAGAAGGAGGGCGCUACGGAUACCUAAGACUCAGGCCGGGGCCCGAGUCCCACGCCCCGGAUCCCCGUGGCCCCCUUGCUCCCCUGACCUCUUCCCGGCCAUAGCCCAUCUGGAGGGCCGAGUCAGAGUUUAGUUUUAAUUGCCCUUUCCCUAUUCCCCA